AAAUUGAGGGAUCGAGCUCACAAGCUUGAAGCAUCUUUUCAUGUUGCUCGAGCCUACCAUCAAUCUCAGUAACCCUCGAGGAUCAUGCCUAUAUAUGAUGGACCAAAUUGCUUCUUCAAUGGGGUCACUACAUGACAUGCAUGUGGGCUCCUUCAUUUAAACAUUGUCUACAUAAUGAAAAUAUAAGAGAAGAGGUCAGAUAUGUCAACAGGUUAUGAGCAGGCAUUCAUGGAAAGAUCAAGCUACUCAGCCCAAAAUCAAAUAUUUCACUCAGGUUAAAGCUCGGCCACCAACAUUUGUUGCUUUUUUGACUGGGAAAGCCCAGCUUUCAGACACUGAUAUAAGGUUUCUGAUAAAAUCCUUAAAAGAAGAUUUCAAUUUAGGCGGAAUCCCAAUCCGCAUCAUGCAGCGUAGCAUUCCAAGGAAAACUGCAGCAAAUAGCAGCAGCAAUAACAAUAAGAAUUCAUCUUCUAAGGUUCACAAGAAAUUGAAGUCGGACUAGAGAUUUACUGCAUUUGAAUCCUCUUCUUCAAUGACUUGGCCAUAACUGCAAAGAAAGGGAAAUAAGGUUACAGGUUGAAGAACCUAAUGAACAUACUGAGGAGUCACCCAGAAGUCCCAGAGGACCUUUACCAUUGCUGUGAAAAAGGUUUUACUUCUGUUUGAAAACUAUUUAUGAUUAGCAUGCCAAAAGCUCUAUAACAGUUUUCCUGGCUGCAAUGCGUCGCUAAGCUUUAGUCCUUCCACUCCUCACACAAGUACACUUUUAUGGGUCUUAAGCUUUACUGUGUUGGUACUUGAUACAUCAUCAAAAAAUUAUGUUGAUGGUGCAUGAA